rnacentral:rRNA from 12 species
CUGAUUCAUCACACUGGCCUGCAAGUGACUGAUCCUGUCAGGUUUCAAAAGCUAAGCUGAACCAGGCCUGGUUAGUACUUGGAUGGGAAACCACCUUGGAAGACCAGGAGCCAUUAGC